ensembl:lincRNA
AGCUUCAUGUCCUAGAACCGAGUCUCCUCUCUUUCGUAAAAUCGCCCCAACCAAUGAAUACUAAUUUUUUAAGUCCCAGAUGCUGCACUGGGGGAAAGGGAGAAAAAGGAAGAUUCUGGAAAGAGACCCAAGGGAGGAGGGAAAACACAGAUGAAGUCAUGAGGAUGCCACCCCACCCCACUUCAGACACAUGCCCUUAAAGAAGAGGAAGAGGCCGGAGUCAUAUGUUUGCAGCAUCUGCAUAGCAGGAAAUGGAUCCUCACGGACACCACUUGCAUCAGAGCUUUGAUGUUGUACUUCCCACGCCCUGGAACUGUGGAGAGAGAUCCCUGUUUGUCUGCAUGAGGCAACAAGCUUGCGAGCAGAAGCUGCAACUAAGGAUUAUGGAGGUGCAGACAGAAGGAGCCUGGACCUGCCGCUGGUUGCACUGGCCUUCUGGGAUUCUGCUUGCCCUUACUCUCUGCCCUCUUCUUCUUCUUCUUCUUCUUUUCUUCUUCUUCUUCUUCUUCUUCUUCUUCUUCUUCUUCUUCUUCUUCUUCUUCUUCUUCUUCUUCUUCUUCUUCUUCUUCUUCUUCUUCCUUCUCCUUCCUCCUCCUCCUCCUCCUCCUCCUGUGAUGUGAGGUCAUACAGCAGAACCCCACCCUCCUCCUCCUCCUCCUCCUCCUCCUCCUCCUUCUCUUCCUCCUCCUCCUUCUUCUUCUUCUUCUGUUUUAGAUUUUUUUUAUGAGAAAAAUAAACACAUUUUUGGUAGGUCAGCGUCCUGUAGCUUGUAGCCAAGUACAAGCCCUGGAGACAGCAAUGGCUUUAAGUCCUUCAUGUUUCUUUAAAUGGUCUUUAAAUGUAUAGUGGCAGAAGUCUUGACUCACAACACUAAGGAACCAGAGGCAGGCAGAUCACUGUGAGUUCAAGGCCAGCUACAUAGUGAGACUGUGUCAGAGAGAGAGGGACAGAGAGAGAGAGAGACAGAGACAGAGACAGAGAGACAGAGACAGAGAGACAGAGAGAGACAGAGACAGAGUUUUCUUUGAUCAGUAAGCCUGUUCCUCCCUGACAGACAAUGCCUCCGCUAGCACACAGUAAGUCUGUACUAGUGAGGAUCUCCCGUUUUACUGAUCCGUUCCUGGACAAUCAAUACAAAGAUGGAGGGUGUUAAAGCCUCUUCUCUUCCUUCCCCUCCUGCUCCUCCUCCUUAUUUUCUAUGUUGUUAUUUAUUUUUUCACAAAUACCAGGUCCCAUCCCACACUGUAUGACACAACACCGAACAAAGCAAGCAAGUCCUUGUGUGGCCCUUUGGCAGUGCAAGCCACCCUUCGUUGUUCCAUAUUCAUUUUGGAGUCAGUCUGACCAAUUCUUGACAAUUCUAAUGGAAAGAAAAUUUCAUGAAGUGCUUCGCCAGACUCCAUUGUCUAUAUAACACUGUGUUCUGUUUUGUGAAAGAACAUUUGAGCUGUUUCUAGUUUGGGAAUAUUAAAACAUUAUGCUUUUGUGAAUGCUU